UGGCUUAUCAGUCCCUGUUCUUGGUGUGCAGCUGGAUUGGAUGUCAGGGUGUAUGGUGCCUCUUGCUGGAACAAUGGAAGAUGCAGAUGGCAAGGGGCUGGUUCCGAUCCGCUUUGGGGCACAGACUAUAGACCCUGUGACAGGGGUGGUGGCUCCGGUGGUAGGAGCUCGGCUAGACUUCUGGAAGAGGACUGUAGUCCCAGUGACCGUCUCUCAGUGCCUGACCAUAAGAGAAGCUCCAGACAUUGUGCUGGCGGAGGCCUUACAGAAGGAGUGCAGCAUGAGGGCCCAGUUCUGGAGACAGCAGAGAGUAAAGGAAGAAGAACUAGUGGCGGAUUUAGACAGAGCUCUGAGGGACUGCCUUUACACAGCAUUACAGGAAGAGCCAGAUCAUCUUGUGUGGACAGACACAGAUAAGCAAAUAAGGGAGACAGCAGCAGAACUUCAGGAGGAAGACUAUAAAGAGGCUCAAAGAAGAAAUGCUGUGAACUCGGAGCUGUCUCUCCUGCUGCCUGGACACAUCCUACUCACUCUUACUGGAGGUGAUGAAGAAGAGUGGAAGCAGCAGCGUCACUGGCAUGCUGAACUGACUGCAGUGUUGAAUAGAGUGAGUGUGUUUAUGGCAAGGCAGCAGUGGGAGCAAGGUCGGUCCACACCUCUGGGUGAUGAGCAAGCGGAUGAAAAGACAUGGCAGAAGGAGCUGUGGGAGCAAUUAAAUCAGAGAUACACCGAGCUGGACGUUGCUCUUUCUUCACUACACUGCACCUGCAAGAUCAGCCAGCUCCGUGCUGCUACUGCAGAGAUGCCAAUCAGUCUUGCUGUGCAGCAGUUUCCACUCAACCCCUGAAAGAUCAUGAAAAGGCUUCAUCUGUGAGCGAGCUAAAUGGCUUGAAGGGUGUAUUGUCCAGUACAUCUCCUUCACACAGAGAACAGGAUGUAAGCCCUGCUCAAAGCCAGGAUCUCAAGGAGACGACAUUUCCCGUGCACAUGACAGUCCCCAAACUGUCAGGUGAGGACUGGGCCAGUUUGCUGGAGCUCUCGCCACUCUUCCGGCUUAUCCAAGAUGUGGAACAGCGGCUCAGAGACCAAGCAAAGAACGCCGGCCUGCUUAGCGGCUCAGGGUGCACCUUUAUCGAUUUCUUGGAUGCGCAGUGGGAUUGUGAGGGAGAGCUCGUCAAAGUCGGUGCUGACACUCUCAAUCCCCGCGAGUUUCUCAUCUACCAGCACGGCCAGCUUCUUCUCAAACUGCUACACACACACAGAGUGGCACCAGCAGUGAAAUUACACCUCGCCUCAAGACUUCCUACAAAUAACUACUGCUGCAAUUCCUUCCGUAAUUCCUUUUAUUACCAGGAGACGGAUAACAUUCUGUACGUGCGACAGCAGAGACUGCAGUCUGUAGGAGGUUUCUCUCUGCUGCUUAUACACUGUGCUGCUCACAUAUCCACUGGACAACUUACUGUUGACACAACUGUUGCCUUCCAAAGGGCUUUCUUUAAGGUCCUGCAAGUGUGUCUAAGUGAGUUGUUCCAUGCCAGAUUAGAGCCUGAUUCAGCUGAAGGAAAGAAGCAAAGCACUGACUCAACCCUUAAUAGCCUUGUGUCCGAGAGAGUGCAGAAAUGCGACCCAGGGACUUUGUCUGAGAACCUGAAUGAGGUGGCCAGGCUGCUAGAGAAGCACAAAGAAAGUUCAGUGUUCAGGAAAGUAGAAAGCCUGCUGAGAGAUAAGAACCUGGAGGUCAGCCCAAGUGACAGUGAGCCGCCAAUUAAACAUGGAGCAGAAGGCCAGGACGUUGCGCCAGAGUGAAGUGAUGAAUCGGUCUUGAAAUACGAGCACUGCUGCCUUUCACUGAAUAUGACAAGACCAACUAUCUCAUCCAAACUACUGUAAGCUGCUCCGUGGGAGACAGAUGGCAGCGUAGACGAUGGCUUUGCUUUGGAUUGAGGACGUUCGAGUAACUACAAAAAGAAGCACAUGGAACACACAUUAAACAACAUUAAGCAAAAAGGAAAAAUCCAAAUGAUGACAAACAAUAAUAAGGACAUGAAUGUAAUGCAAAUCAGUGUACAUUAUAACGUUAAGAUAAUUAUUCUGAGGUGGAUGGAAAACUACUAAAAUGCAAGAUCGUGUAGUCAGUUAUUAAACUAAGUAACAGUGAUUGGUAUACGUUUAAAAACGCUUGAAUAUCAAAUGUGCAAAUUAUGAAAGCUUUCAAUAUUUCAUAAUGCAAGGUCCUAUUUCAAAUGAGGUCAUUACAGGGAAAAAAAAAAAUAUAUAUAUAUAUAUAUAUAUAUAUAUAUAUAUAUAUAUAUAUAUAUAUAUAUAUAUAUAUAUAUAUAAGCAUUUUGACAGUUUUUUCUUUGAUAAUGUUUGCACACUUGGGACUGAACAGAGUUAUCCAGCUCUGUGGAUAAGUUUUCUAAGGGCAGAGCUGGGAUGCUUCAUUUAUUAUUUUUUCAAUAAACAUCUCUACAUAUUUAUUGUUGAAA
ensembl:lncRNA